CCGCCGGUGGAAGAAGCGCCGCCUCAAGCAAAUGGGGGAACUGAAGGGUCCCGUUACACCCGCCCAUCGCUCAUGAAACCGGCCUAUCCGCAUCCCGAGCGUCUCAUCAGUGAUGGGAUCACUGACCAACGGGUUUGAUCCGAGGCUUCAGGCGGGCCAAUAGAAGGCCAUGUCUGCCCCUCCUGCUUUACUGCAGAAUUCCGAGGCUUGCAGCCAGCAGCAUCGCGAGUCUCUAGGCUGAAAUUUUGUAUAAAUGGACGCACAAGGUGGAGAGCCUGCUUUACACUGUAAUGAGAACAGCCACAUCUGUGCACCGUGUCCCACUGCCUGCAUCUGCAUCUGCAGUGCAGGACUAAUGGCUCUGAUUGGAGGAGAGAGAAAGACACACCCCUGUUUGAUUGGUCAAGAGCUGGGACUCAGCAUAACGUGACAGGAGUAAGAGGAGAACCAUGUGGCUGAGUUUGGUAAAAAUUACUGCUCUUUCUGUUGGAACAAGCAAUAAAAAAUACAAAUAAAAAGGGAAAUGAAGAGAAAAAGGAAUUAGAAAAGGCAUGACGUAAAAAUAUCUGUCUGGUGUUACAUGAAAGUAGGUACAGGACAUUGCAGAUCAGCAGAGGAGGGACUUGAAGAAUGUGUAAUGUAACAGCCACCUCUCCUUGUCUCCGUGUCACGCUAUCCUCUUACACACAUUUCAUCACAGGAAGGAUAUUAUCCCACACAAGUCAACGGCCCGCUGAAGAUAAAACCCACAGUAUCAAUGUAUUUACACUUCUGGAUGAAACAUAAUUUGUGGGUAAGAUGUGAACAUAGAGAGAUUCCAACUACAGGACACAGACUCAUUUUAAAGGGCAUGUUUGACACCCCAUCCCUUUAAAUGAGAAAAUGCGGAGACAGUUAAAGAGAAUCACUCUGCAGGUAACGAAGAAUGAUGUAACCUGAGCUGAACACAUUAAAUAUUAAUGCUCAUUUUAAACCAGCUGGCAUCACGACUGCCCCAGGGAAACAAACUGCAAAUGUCACACCACCACAUGUGCCUGUGUACAUGCCAACACAUUCAACAAUAAGAAGAGUGCAAUAGGCCACACUGAUCCUCAUAUUCUCCCUGUGAUAUCACUGACUGUUUUUUAUUUACGGUUUCACAGAUAUAUCAGCAUUCAUCUCUAUUGUAAUUACAAUAACCUUAGUUCAUUCAAAGUUAAUCCAAGUACUUUAGGUAUUGAUAGCAAAAGUGGAUAGAUAUUCUUUUUCAAAAGUUUUUACAGACUAGUACAUAGGAAUUAUAGUAAUUGCCACUUGCAACCACUGUGGUACUGGUUAACAAAAUUUACAUUUACUUAACCCUUAUUUUCUGUUUAUUAAUUCCCAAUUUUCAGCCUGCAUACAUGAGUUUACAGAGUUUAAUAUUAUACAGACAUUUAUAUCAUGCUUUUUAUACAUCUAAUAUUAUUCCUAAUUCAUCAACAGUACUAAAAGAAUUAGACUACUACCCCUGCUACUGCAAUCUCAGAAAUAAUCAUAGUGCAAACACAGUUCCAAAUGGAAAAGGACAAAUCUUUUAAUCCUGCGCAUAAAAUGCAAAACUUUAUGACCACCAUUAAGAGAAAACAUUUCCCAGCACUGAUCUAGCUUUAGAACAUGUGGACUGUAAAGUGCUGUGCUGUUGAAUGAACCUGUAAAACCAUUAUCUGACUAGUCUGGUCCCUGGAUGACUCUGUUUAUUCUGGGUGCUUGUUUUCGUCAAAGUAUGUUAAUUGUGAAGUUGUAGCGCUGUGUUGUGCUGCCAAGAUGGUUCAGUAAAAACACGGUGCCACAGUAAGAGGCCUGUUAUAAUUGCUGAUACAGUGUGUGCCAGAAAGAUAGUUUGGUCUCUCAACAUUGUGACACCUUCAGUCUAGUGGUAGAUAUUUAUAGCGUUAUUAUAUGCAAGUACUUUCAAAUGUGUUGUGAAUGUGUCUGAAUAAAAGUUUGCAACUCUAAAUAAAUGUUG